rnacentral:rRNA from 1 species
UACGAAGGGGGCAAGCGUUGUUCGGAAUUACUGGGCGUAAAGCGUGCGCAGGCGGCUUCGCAAGUCAGGCGUGAAAUCCUCGGGCUUAACCUGGGAAUGGCGUCUGAAACUACGGAGCUGGAGUGUGGCAGAGGGAGGUAGAAUUCCACGUGUAGCGGUGAAAUGCGUAGAUAUGUGGAGGAAUACCGAUGGCGAAGGCAGCCUCCUGGGCCAACACUGACGCUCAUGCACGAAAGCGUGGGGAGCAAACAGG